GCAUCAUACAAGGUUGCAAACUAAAUCGCCUGAACUCUGUUGUUGGUGAAUAUGCCAAUGCGUGUUUACAAGUGGCCCAAGACUGUGGGACUGACGUACUUGACCUGUGGACCCUGAUGCAGGACAGCCAGGACUUCUCAUCUUAUUUAUCAGAUGGACUACAUUUGUCUCCAAAGGGGAAUGAAUUUUUGUUCUCGCAUCUCUGGCCUUUGAUAGAGAAAAAGGUCUCUUCUCUACCUUUGCUGCUUCCUUACUGGCGGGAUGUAGCAGAAGCAAAACCUGAAUUAAGUCUGCUGGGAGAUGGAGACCAUUAGCCAAUCACAGGAGACCCAAAUCUGCUUGUUAUCUACAGAACUCAAAGUUGUCAAUACGUAGAGGUACGCUUUUUUCCUCAGGCUUAAACCUUUGCCACUGAUAUUAAUAAUAAAAGUAUUAGAUGAUUUUUCAGGGAAGUUUUAUACUUAGGUCCAUUGUGUUUCGACAGUAUUUAUUAAUGCAGAUAUCAGUGCUACAGCUAUAAAAUAUACCCUGAGCAGCUUGUUAAUUCUAUAAAUGACAAAGACUAUGUUUUUAAAAAGUCACAAUUUUAUAAAAAUGGUUUUUC
rnacentral:lncRNA from 1 species